CAUAGUUCCUGCUCUUCAGCUAUCUUAUCGCGCAAUGGCUCAAACCAUCCUAAAAACAAUGACUUCACAUAAGGCAAAUUGGGUGCUAAUUUCUGCUCACACAUAUCAAACAAAAGCUCCUUAUAUUCCUUUGCUGCUUGUUCCCAUGACUCUGUCUCUACUUUCUCCUUUGCUGCUUGUUCCCAUGCCUCUGUCUCUACUUUAACUUGCCUCCUUUUAAGUGUUUGAUACUUACUAUGGCCCAUACCACUAGACAGCAUCCUUUGCUUCCGCCGCCUAAAAGCAAACUGCUUUU
rnacentral:lncRNA from 1 species